CUAAUACCGCAUAAGCCCACAGGUCGGCAUCGACCAGAGGGAAAAGGAGCAAUCCGCUUUGAGAUGGCCUCGCGUCCGAUUAGCUAGUUGGUGAGGUAACGGCCCACCAAGGCGACGAUCGGUAGCCGGACUGAGAGGUUGAACGGCCACAUUGGGACUGAGACACGGCCCAGACUCCUACGGGAGGCAGCAGUGGGGAAUAUUGCACAAUGGGGGAAACCCUGAUGCAGCGACGCCGCGUGGAGGAAGAAGGUCUUCGGAUUGUAAACUCCUGUUGUUGAGGAAGAUAAUGACGGUACUCAACAAGGAAGUGACGGCUAACUACGUGCCAGCAGCCGCGGUAAAACGUAGGUCACAAGCGUUGUCCGGAAUUACUGGGUGUAAAGGGAGCGCAGGCGGGAAGACAAGUUGGAAGUGAAAUCUAUGGGCUCAACCCAUAAACUGCUUUCAAAACUGUUUUUCUUGAGUAGUGCAGAGGUAGGCGGAAUUCCCGGUGUAGCGGUGGAAUGCGUAGAUAUCGGGAGGAACACCAGUGGCGAAGGCGGCCUACUGGGCACCAACUGACGCUGAGGCUCGAAAGUGUGGGUAGCAAACAGGAUUAGAUACCCGGGUAGUCCACACCGUAAACGAUGAUUACGAGGUGUUGGAGGAUUGACCCCUUCAGUGCCGC
rnacentral:rRNA from 1 species